UUGCUUUUAGGUUAAAGUUUUAAACCCUAAUUCUUAUACAAUUAAAAUAUUUAUAGAGUAAAAAAAAAUAGU
rnacentral:tRNA from 1 species